CAAGGAUUUCCCCAUUUGACGGAUGAGGAAAUGAGGGCUCCGGGGCUUCAGCAGACCUGCCUCGGCACCAGAUGCCCGGUGCCCCACAUCGUCAGGAUAAAAUGGAAAAACCUUAGCGAGGUGGCCAGAGCCUGGCCCAAGCCAGGCCGUCGCUGCUCACUUUCCAAGGUCUUCUCCCUGGUUCACAGCUGUCCCUGAUUGUGCUCUCCAUCCUCCAUCCGCCACCUCCGUCAAGUGAGCAGUUUUUUUCUUGGUGCUUCAGUGGUACUUUGUACCCGGUGCCACUUGGCUCAUCACCACUUCUCUACAAG
rnacentral:lncRNA from 1 species